UUUCGAGAGAUAGUGAGAAGCUGAGAGAGGCUGGAGAGGAGAGGAGAGGAGAGGAGAGAGAGAGAGAGAUAGCAUUCCGCUGUCUGUUCUUUACGCCGUUGCUCGUCAAGAUGUCAUACUCGAGGAGAUCAAGUUACAGAUCCCCUUCACCUAACUAUAAGCGCAACAGUAGGUCUGUCUCAAGGUCCCUGACUCCAUCAAGUAGUAGGUCAAGGAGCUAUUCCAGUGAUGCUGAGAAUCCUGGAAAUAAUCUGUAUGUGAAAGAAAGGUCGAAGGAGUUCACCUUGUUGUCGAUAGACAUACAAGGUAAUCGCGUGGGUUUGGAUUUGUGACUAUGUCCUCUCUGAAGGAGGCGGAACGCUGAAUCAAAUACUUGGACCGAUCUGUCCUUGAAGGCAGGGUUAUAUCUGUGGAGAAGGUAGGGAUUUAUAGCAAUUUCUUGUUUGUUUAUUUUCUAUCUGUAUGCUGUCUUAUUCAUGUUGUAGCUGAAGCUUUCACUAUUGUAUUGGAUUGUUGAAGUUUCUUGUGUAACAGGGAAGUUGUGUGUAGCAGCUCUUCACCAAAACUAACAAAUCAAAUCAAAUACAUCAGCAAAUUCAGAGGGUUAACUAUGUCAUGAUUUACAGAGUAGUGUCUGGUGUAUUGACUGGAAACUUAUUGUGGGUUAUGUUUUCUUUCAGGCUAGAUGACGGAGGGGACGGACACCUAACCCGUGAAAGUAACUCUGGCUGAAAACAGUUCACGGUGAGAUGAUCUGUCAUUGUUUAAGUGUUUAUCUGCAUGUGGAAAUGGAAAUACUAGGCAUUUGUUUUUGUUCAUGUUGUGCGUUUGUCGUUCUAAUACGUAUGUGGAAAUUGAAGUACUAAGCAUUUAUUUUUAUUCACGUGGAGUGUUGUUGUUCCCGUAGCUACUCGUCUUAUUCUAGAAGCCAUUCGCCUCGUUAUUUGCCUGAUAAGAAUAGGAGCUGUAGCAGCUUCUUGCCUUGCAUAAGGAGGGAAGCCUCGAAUCCUAGCUCAAGAAGCUACACUAGAAGCACCUUGCCUUCUCUUUUCGUCGAGAAUCCACAUGCUAGGAGUCCCAAUGCAUCUUCGUCCUCCCCAUCUGUGUUGUCUAGAUCCGUUAGUCCUAGGUGGUGGUAGCUCUCUUGUCGUAGAAGGGUUUGUGUUACUAUAUAGGUUGAUUGGAUUAGGGUGUCCAUGCUCGCUAUUAUGUUGCUACUACUAGCCUACUACUAUAUACUGUGCUUAUUACUGUAUUACUACUGAUUAUCUAUUAUCUGGGAUUUUACGUUGCUUUUCCUCUUGAUUGUUUGAA